AAUUUGGUGACUGUUAUUAAAAAAGCAGUCUUAAAAGGGAAUUCGGUGAAAGUCCGAAACAGGCCCGCUGCUGUAAUCUUCAAAAAAGGUUUUAAGAUUAUACCACUAAGUACGUUUUGCUUGGGAAGGUUCUUAAGAUGAAGUAAGUCAGAAGACCUGCCAAAUUUAAA
rnacentral:ncRNA from 1 species